GUAGGAUCGCGAUUAUCGCGAAGGCAUUUGUAUCGAUUAGCACAGCAACGAGCGCACGGAAACAGAAGGCGACUCGGGCGACAUCUUCACGACCACUUUGCAACUACAAAAAAGGACAUUUAUAUAAUACAGGUUCAGCUCCGUGGAAACUUGGAAUCGUUGGAAACACAAAUCUGUGUUGGAAACGAAAAACGUGUUACCAACGUAAUGCGCGGCGUCAACUCCAAUGGCGACGAGACGAUGACUGAACGGUUUAAUAAACGGGACAAUAAAUAUAAUUUUGUUUGCAGGG